CCGGUUGAUCCUGCCGGAGGCCACUGCUAUGGGGGUCCGACUAAGCCAGUGCGAGUCAAGGGGGCGUCCCUUCUGGGACGCCACCGGCGGACGGCUCAGUAACACGUCGGUAACCUACCCUCGGGAGGGGGAUAACCCCGGGAAACUGGGGCUAAUCCCCCAUAGGCCUGGGGUACUGGAAGGUCCCCAGGCCGAAAGGGGACCGUAAGGUCCCGCCCGAGGAUGGGCCGGCGGCCGAUUAGGUAGUUGGUGGGGUAACGGCCCACCAAGCCGAAGAUCGGUACGGGCCGUGAGAGCGGGAGCCCGGAGAUGGACACUGAGACACGGGUCCAGGCCCUACGGGGCGCAGCAGGCGCGAAACCUCCGCAAUGCGGGAAACCGCGACGGGGGGACCCCCAGUGCCGUGCCUCUGGCACGGCUUUUCCGGAGUGUAAAAAGCUCCGGGAAUAAGGGCUGGGCAAGGCCGGUGGCAGCCGCCGCGGUAAUACCGGCGGCCCGAGUGGUGGCCACUAUUAUUGGGCCUAAAGCGGCCGUAGCCGGGCCCGUAAGUCCCUGGCGAAAUCCCACGGCUCAACCGUGGGGCUCGCUGGGGAUACUGCGGGCCUUGGGACCGGGAGAGGCCGGGGGUACCCCCGGGGUAGGGGUGAAAUCCUAUAAUCCCGGGGGGACCGCCAGUGGCGAAGGCGCCCGGCUGGAACGGGUCCGACGGUGAGGGCCGAAGGCCAGGGGAGCGAACCGGAUUAGAUACCCGGGUAGUCCUGGCUGUAAAGGAUGCGGGCUAGGUGUCGGGCGAGCUUCGAGCUCGCCCGGUGCCGUAGGGAAGCCGUUAAGCCCGCCGCCUGGGGAGUACGGCCGCAAGGCUGAAACUUAAAGGAAUUGGCGGGGGAGCACUACAAGGGGUGGAGCGUGCGGUUUAAUUGGAUUCAACGCCGGGAACCUCACCGGGGGCGACGGCAGGAUGAAGGCCAGGCUGAAGGUCUUGCCGGACGCGCCGAGAGGAGGUGCAUGGCCGCCGUCAGCUCGUACCGUGAGGCGUCCACUUAAGUGUGGUAACGAGCGAGACCCGCGCCCCCAGUUGCCAGUCCCUCCCGCUCGGGAGGGAGGCACUCUGGGGGGACUGCCGGCGAUAAGCCGGAGGAAGGGGCGGGCGACGGUAGGUCAGUAUGCCCCGAAACCCCCGGGCUACACGCGCGCUACAAUGGGCGGGACAAUGGGACCCGACCCCGAAAGGGGAAGGGAAUCCCCUAAACCCGCCCUCAGUUCGGAUCGCGGGCUGCAACUCGCCCGCGUGAAGCUGGAAUCCCUAGUACCCGCGCGUCAUCAUCGCGCGGGGAAUACGUCCCUGCUCCUUGCACACACCGCCCGUCACUCCACCCGAGCGGGGCCCCGGUUAAGCCCGAUCUCCUUCGGGAGGUCGGGUCGAGCCUGGGCUCCGUGAGGGGGGAGAAGUCGUAACAAGGUAGCCGUAGGGGAACCUACGGCUCGAUCACCUCCU
rnacentral:rRNA from 1 species